rnacentral:rRNA from 1 species
GUGGUAUUAGCUAGUUGGUGAGGUAACGGCUCACCAAGGCUACGAUGCCUAGGGGAUGUUAGCGCAUGAUCCCCACCACUGGGACUGAGAUACUGCCCAGACACCUACGGGUGGCUGCAGUCGAGAAUCUUCGGCAAUGGGGGAAACCCUGACCGAGCGACGCCGCGUGUGGGAUGAAGGCCCUUGGGUUGUAAACCACUGUCAGAGGGGAUGAAGUGCAUGAGGGUUCUCCCUCAUGUUUGACAUAGCCUCAGAGGAAGCACGGGCUAAGUUCGUGCCAGCGGCCGCGGUAAGACGAACUGUGCAAACGUUAUUCGGAAUCACUGGGCUUGAAGAGUGCGCAGGCGGUUUUGUAAGUAGGGUGUGAAAGCCCCCGGCUCAACCGGGGAAUUGCGCCCUAAACUGCAAGGCUGGAGUGAGGUAGGGGUGUGUGGAACUUCUAGUGGAGCGGUGAAAUGUGUUGAUAUUAGAAGGAACGCCGGUGGCGAAAGCGACACACUGG